GACGAACGCUGGCGGCGUGCCUAACACAUGCAAGUCGAACGAAGCAUUUAAGUGAAUCCCUUCGGGGUGAAGCUUUUAUGACUUAGUGGCGGACGGGUGAGUAACGCGUGAGUAACCUGCCUUUCAGAGGGGGAUAACAGUUGGAAACGACUGCUAAUACCGCAUAAAGGAUUUGAAUCGCAUGAUUAGGAUACCAAAGCUGAGGCGCUGAAAGAUGGACUCGCGUCUGAUUAGAUAGUUGGUGGGGUAACGGCCUACCAAGUCGACGAUCAGUAGCCGGACUGAGAGGUUGAUCGGCCACAUUGGGACUGAGACACGGCCCAGACUCCUACGGGAGGCAGCAGUGGGGAAUAUUGCACAAUGGGCGAAAGCCUGAUGCAGCAACGCCGCGUGAGGGAAGACGGUCUUCGGAUUGUAAACCUCUGUCUUUGGUGAAGAAGAAAGUGACGGUAACCAAGGAGGAAGCCACGGCUAACUACGUGCCAGCAGCCGCGGUAACAC
rnacentral:rRNA from 1 species